CAAUAGCGUAUAUUAAAGUUGUUGCAGUUAAAAAGCUCGUAGUUGGAUUUGUGGCGUACGGUGUGUUCCGGGCACUUGUUGUCUGAGUAACCUGCUGUUGCCAUCCUUGGGUGGAACCUGUGUGGCAUUAGGUUGUCGUGCAGGGGAUGCCCAUCAUUUACUGUGAAAAAAUUAGAGUGUUCAAAGCAGGCUUAUGCCGUUGAAUAUAUUAGCAUGGAAUAAUGAGAUAGGACUUUUUUGCUAUUUUGUUGGUUUGCGCAAAGAGGUAAUGAUUAAUAGGGACAGUUGGGGGUAUUCGUAUUCCAUUGUCAGAGGUGAAAUUCUUGGAUUUUUGGAAGACGAACUACUGCGAAAGCGUUUACCAAGGAUGUUUUCAUUAA
rnacentral:rRNA from 1 species